rnacentral:rRNA from 1 species
UACGGGGGGGCAAGCGUUGUUCGGAAUUACUGGGCGUAAAGGGCUCGUAGGCGGCCAACUAAGUCGGACGUGAAAUCCCUCGGCUUAACCGGGGAACUGCGUCCGAUACUGGAUGGCUUGAGUUCGGGAGAGGGAUGCGGAAUUCCAGGUGUAGCGGUGAAAUGCGUAGAUAAUCUGGAGGAACACCGGUGGCGAAGGCGGCAUCCUGGACCGACACUGACGCUGAGGAGCGAAAGCCAGGGAGCAAACGGG